rnacentral:rRNA from 1 species
GAUGAACGCUGGCGGCGUGCCUAAUACAUGCAGGUCGAGCGAACAGACGAGGAGCUUGCUCCUCUGACGUUAGCGGCGGACGGGUGAGUAACACGUGGAUAACCUACCUAUAAGACUGGGAUAACUUCGGGAAACCGGAGCUAAUACCGGAUAAUAUAUUGAACCGCAUGGUUCAAUAGUGAAAGACGGUUUUGCUGUCACUUAUGGAUGGAUCCGCGCCGCAUUAGCUAGUUGGUAAGGUAACGGCUUACCAAGGCAACGAUGCGUAGCCGACCUGAGAGGGUGAUCGGCCACACUGGAACUGAGACACGGUCCAGACUCCUACGGGAGGCAGCAGUAGGGAAUCUUCCGCAAUGGGCGAAAGCUUGACGGAGCAACGCCGCGUGAGUGAUGAAGGUCUUCGGAUCGUAAAACUCUGUUAUUAGGGAAGAACAAAUGUGUAAGUAACUAUGCACGUCUUGACGGUACCUAAUCAGAAAGCCACGGCUAACUACGUG